rnacentral:miRNA from 1 species
UGUGGGUAUGUAUUUAUGUGUGAGUAUAUGUACAUGUGUGUGGGAUGGGCUGUUUUCAUUAAAACGAUCAGCUUAUUACACAUUAUUA